CAACGGCGAUCGAACGCCGUCGUCUGGCAAGUGGCCUGUCCCCCGCCCGCGUCAGAUGUCAGGACAAAGGCCUAUCCCCCUCUCCGGGCCUUUGUCCGGUUAUGCAGAAAACCGCCAUGGCUCCGCCUCCGCCAUGGCGGUUUUUC
rnacentral:sRNA from 1 species